GUCCAUGUUUCUUUGAAACCUAUCAACUGUGGCAGCCUGCCUUCCUCGCUUUGGAAGAGUAUGUUCUUGUGUAUUUGACAAAGCUGUAACCAUUUAAUUAGUAUCAGAUUCUGACUGGCACAAGUAACACGC